GUUUCGCUCUGACUGUGAUAUCACCCAACGAUUCGGGGUGAUGAGUCUUUUCUGGAGUUUUGUUGGGGAUCGAACUCAUGCUCAGCCGCAGGAACUCCGCAAAUUGUGCGGCGAGUUCCGCAGGGAAGGGUGAAGGGUUUGGGAUUGAAAAGAAGGUUGGGAGAGGUAUAUUACGGGCGGUGAUGAAAUUUUUCUGAGCCCGAACCUGCUCGUGAUACCACAUUGAAAGAAGAUGUAGGAGACAAUGUAUUGUGUUGUGUAUUCAUUAGAAUGAUCCAUCCCCCUUAAUAUAGGAGUUGUUACACUGUAAUUACGGCAUACAAUCAUUCUAAUUCUUAGGCAAAUAUGCUCCCUAUCAAUUACCUAUCAAUUACAUAUUUCCUCCUUUAA